rnacentral:rRNA from 1 species
UACGUAGGGGGGCUAGCGUUGUCCGGAAUCAUUGGGCGUAAAGCGCGCGUAGGCGGCCCUGUUAGUCCGCUGUAAAAGUCAAAGGCUCAACCUUUGAAUGCCGGUGGAUACUGCAGGGCUAGAGUCCGGAAGAGGCGAGUGGAAUUCCUGGUGUAGCGGUGAAAUGCGUAGAUAUCUGGAGGAACACCGGUGGCGAAGGCGGCGUCCUGGACCAACACUGACACUGAGGAGCGAAAGCCAGGGGAGCAAACGGG